rnacentral:misc_RNA from 1 species
UCCGGUUUGGCACCGGCAGUCUUUCUAGAGUCCCCGACUUUACUCGCUGGCAACUAGAAACGGGGGUUGCGCUCGUUGCGGGACUUAACCCAACAUCUCACGACACGAGCUGACGACAGCCAUGCAGCACCUGUGCAGAAGUCCCGAAGGAGGCCCCUGGUUUCUCAGAGGUUUCCUCUGCAUGUCAAGCCUAGGUAAGGUUCUUCGCGUUGCGUCGAAUUAAACCACAUGCUCCACCGCUUGUGCGGGCCCCCGUCAAUUCCUUUGAGUUUCAGCCUUGCGGCCGUACUCCCCAGGCGGGGCACUUAAUGCGUUAGCGCCGGCACUCAGAGGGUCGCUCCCCCAAGCACCUAGUGCCCAUCGUUUACGGCGUGGACUAC